AAUAAUAAUUUUGGUUAAAAAGUAUUGAGAAAUUUUUCAUUACUAAUUAAUUGUUCUCACAUUGAUCCUUGAAAAUUGUUGUGAUGCCCUGAAUUUUAGUUUCUUUUCUAGAAUUUUUAUCAUUAAAAUUUCUGCAAGAUAAUAGCAAAGAAAAUCUGUAGAGUAGAUUUUCUAAAAAAAUUAUAUGUAUCAGUUUUUGUAGAUGACAAGUGUUUCCUCAAUUUAUAUAAUACGUCACAGCUCAGUUCUAAAUUACAUUUCACAGACCAAGUUUUAAACUUGGCCUCCAUAAAAGUAGGCAGUUAAAAAAAAUUACCUUCAUGUUACUUGCUGGACCUGGUAAGUAAAGACAUUUAUUACUGCAUUAUUUAAAAUAGCAAAACAUGGAAGCAAUUUAUAUGUCCAACUAUAGGGGAAUGGUUGAAUAAAUGAUGGCACAUUCAUUAAGUUAAACCUAAUGCAGUUAUGAAAAGUCAUAAGUAUGAAAGCCAGGGAGAAUAUGAAAAAAAAGGAUAAUGCGAAGCAAAAAGAACUGAGAAUUAUGAGUAGACUUGGACAGUGAUUACAUCAGAUAAACAACAACAAAAUUAUUUGCAGUGAGAUGGAAAGUCUCAAUAUCUUUCAAAUAUCUUUAAUGGUUUCACAUUACUUUUAUUUUGUUUUACUUUGAGGUGGAGUCUUGCUCUGUCACCCAGGCUGGAGCGCAGUGGUAUGAUCUCAGCUCACUGCAACCUCUGCCUCCUGGGUUCAAGCAAUGCUCAUGCCUCAGUCUCCCGAGUAGCUGGGACUACAGGCACGUGCCACCAUGCCAGCUAAUUUUUUGUAUUUUUAGUACAGAUGGGGUUUCACCAUGUUAGCCAGGCUGGUCUCAAACUUCUGACUUCAGGUGAUUCACCCACCUCAGCCUCCCAAAGUGCUGGGAUUACAGGCAUGAGCCACCACACUGGUGUCAUAUUACCUUUAAAUAAUUUUUUUAGGAUACAAGAUGACAUUGUUUUAAUAUAUAAGUAAAGGAAUCACCAGGAUGCACUGGGCCUGUCCCUAUGAGCACCAAGUUGAUAUGCACACACCCAAGUGUGAGGCACCUGCUAUACACACUGUGUAUGUACGUGUGCGUAAAACCUUGAGGAAAAUGCCAUUUGCCCCAUCCAUUUUUCCAAAGACGGUUCAAAGACAGUAUUUAUCACUAAAUUCCUCCAAAACCUUAAAACCACAUGUGUGCAUUUGCACUUGUGAGUCACUGAAAUCCACUUUGAGAUCAUUAGCAACAAUGGACAGGGUGGCCCAGCCUGUCAUGGCAUGGGGACAGGUAGGGAUGCUACAGUUGGAAAUGGACUGACUCAUACUCAGGCUGUCACAGCCUGGUCUCAGCCUGUAGGGCUCAUGCUGAGAAUGGUACAGGCAGGGGAGCCAGGGACUAGUGUCCAGAUGAGACAUCAGGCUCCAUCACCCAUUGGCUGAGUCACCCAGGCAGCAGAGCUCACCUGUCUGCUGGGCCUGUUUCUCUGUCUGCACAGCAAGCAUCACAGUCACUAUAGUCAAAAUGUGUCCUCUAGAAUUCAUGUGUCAGAAACAAUCCCCAAUGCAACCAUGUUAGGAGGUGGGGCCGAAUGGGAGGUGUUGAGGUUGUGAGGGCCUUACCCUCGUGAAUGGAUUAAUGCCAUUAUAAAAAAGGGCUUGCAGAAGUCGGUUCACUCUCAGAUGCUCUUGUCCUCAUGUCUUCCGUCAUGUGAUGAUGCAGCAAGAAGGCCCUUGCCAGACACUAGUGCCUCAAUCUUGGGCUUCCCAGUUUCCAGAAAAAUUUCUGUUUGUUGUAUAUCACCCAGUCUCAGGUCUUCUGUUACAGCAGCAAAAAAGGGACUAAGACAACAGUCUGCCUAUGGACUCCUUGAGAAUUAAAGGGAAUGCAGGAGGCCCACCUAUCCUUGGAUCGGGUCCAUAUGUUCUCAACAAAUGGCAAUUUCUACUCUGAUGGUCUGGAAGGGUGUGACGAGUGGGUUGUUUUUCUUUUUCAAGUGUUCUGUGGUGCUUGUAUAGAGCUUGUCAUGAAAAUUUAUAAGGCACAAGUCACCCAUUUAUCGCACUCUGUGACCUUGGUUAAAUUCUGUAUCCUCUCUCUGCCUCAAUGUUUUCAUCUGUAGAAUGGGAAUGCUGGUGCAUGCCCGUGGUGCACAGGUUUGUUGUAAGGCUAAAUGAGCUAACUCAUGUAGGCAUCUAGCACAGAGUCUGGCUCAUUCUAAGUACAAAAUAAAUGCUGCUAACUGUUGGUUUUUGCUAGGGUGUGACUUACAGGAUAAGAAUAAUCAACCUCUGUUCAUUUCUAUUCAGAUGAAUUGGCCCUCAGAAGCUGGCUUUCUACAAGGUCCAGCUGGGUCAGGAAAAACAAUAACAAGAGCAGCUAAACGCAUUGAGUUCCUCUGAAAUGUCAGGCACUCCUAUGAGUACACAGUGGUUCCCUGCUCAAAGGAUGGGGGAACAGAGGAUCGGCCUUUGCCCAGCUCUGGCUGAGAGCUCUUGGAUGAAGAAUAACUGAUGCAGAGACAUCUCAGCCCUUUGCCCUGACCAGUGCCAAGAGGCCCAUUGCCGAUGAGAGGGUGACACCUAUGACCCGGUUCACAGAUCCAGAGCCAGUGAGGAGCUCUUGGAGAUCAGGAAGCCCCUCAGUCCCAGGCAGACUGAAGCUGUUGGCAGCCCUGGAAUCAGGUGCCACAGAGGCACUGCCAAGACAGGCUGAGAAUCUCUCACCCCUAACACCAGAUUUCCAGAGGAGGGAAGCUGAUCAGCCAAGCCAGGCCAGAUAUCCACCCAGAUCUUCAUCUGCUGUGGCCAAGAGGAGGACCCUAUGGUUGGGAACUGGAGCCCCUAUUACCUGCUGAACACUGCUCCAGAACAUAAGAAAUGCUACAAAAAAAUGAAACAGAAUAAAUGGUGUCAUAAAUUGAAUG
rnacentral:lncRNA from 1 species